rnacentral:rRNA from 1 species
CAUGCAUGUCUCAGUACAAGCCACAUUAAGGUGAAACCGCGAAAGGCUCAUUAAAUCAGUUAUGGUUCCUUAGAUCGUACCCACAUUUACUUGGAUAACUGUGGUAAUUCUAGAGCUAAUACAUGCAAACAGAGCUCCGACCGGAGACGGGAGGAGUGCUUUUAUUAGAUCAAAACCAAUCGGCGGCGGGCCCGUUCGCGCGGGUCCUACCGUCGUACUGGCUGGUGACUCUGAAUAACUUGACGCUGAUCGCACGGUCUCGCACCGGCGACGCAUCUUUCAAAUGUCUGCCUUAUCAACUGUCGAUGGUAGGUUCUGCGCCUACCAUGGUUGUAACGGGUAACGGGGAAUCAGGGUUCGAUUCCGGAGAGGGAGCCUGAGAAACGGCUACCACAUCCAAGGAAGGCAGCAGGCGCGCAAAUUACCCACUCCCGGCACGGGGAGGUAGUGACGAAAAAUAACGAUACGAGACUCAUCCGAGGCUUCGUAAUCGGAAUGAGUACACUUUAAAUCCUUUAACGAGGAUCAAUUGGAGGGCAAGUCUGGUGCCAGCAGCCGCGGUAAUUCCAGCUCCAAUAGCGUAUAUUAAAGUUGUUGCGGUUAAAAAGCUCGUAGUUGAAUCUGUGUCCCGCGCUGUCGGUUCACCGCCCGCGGUGUUCAACUGGCACGUCCGCGGGACGUCCUGCCGGUGGGUCGCGCGCGCGUCGUGCGCACACCGUUGUCCGCGGCCGCCGUUUAGGCGGUGCGUUCGCGGCGGCGUUACUGCCUCGGCGUUAGCGCGCGCCCGACUUUAAUGAAUCCCGCCGCGGUGCUCUUCACUGAGUGUCGAGGUGGGCCGGCACGUUUACUUUGAACAAAUUAGAGUGCUCAAAGCAGGCUAAAACUUCGCCUGAAUACUGUGUGCAUGGAAUAAUGGAACAGGACCUCGGUUCUAUUUUGUUGGUUUUCGGAAUCCGAGGUAAUGAUUAAUAGGGACAGAUGGGGGCAUUCGUAUUGCGACGUUAGAGGUGAAAUUCUUGGAUCGUCGCAAGACGGACAGAAGCGAAAGCAUUUGCCAAAAAUGUUUUCAUUAAUCAAGAACGAAAGUCAGAGGUUCGAAGGCGAUCAGAUACCGCCCUAGUUCUGACCAUAAACGAUGCCAGCUAGCGAUCCGCCGACGUUCCUCCGAUGACUCGGCGGGCAGCUUCCGGGAAACCAAAGCUUUUGGGUUCCGGGGGAAGUAUGGUUGCAAAGCUGAAACUUAAAGGAAUUGACGGAAGGGCACCACCAGGAGUGGAGCCUGCGGCUUAAUUUGACUCAACACGGGAAACCUCACCAGGCCCGGACACCGGAAGGAUUGACAGAUUGAGAGCUCUUUCUUGAUUCGGUGGGUGGUGGUGCAUGGCCGUUCUUAGUUGGUGGAGCGAUUUGUCUGGUUAAUUCCGAUAACGAACGAGACUCUAGCCUGCUAAAUAGGCGUACCUGACCGGUAUCUGGAAGGCUCGCGUCGCGCGUGUUCGCGCUGCGGGUUCGCGUUCGCGCGUCCCGCACGUGACCGUGCGUUCGCGGUUUUUACUACCGGCGUACACAUAAUUCUUCUUAGAGGGACAGGCGGCUCCUAGCCGCACGAGAUUGAGCAAUAACAGGUCUGUGAUGCCCUUAGAUGUUUGGGCCGCACGCGCGCUACACUGAAGGGGUCAGCGUGUCCUCCCUUGGCCGAGCGGCCCGGGUAACCCGCUGAACUCCCUUCGUGCUAGGGAUUGGGGCUUGCAAUUGUUCCCCAUGAACGAGGAAUUCCCAGUAAGCGCGAGUCAUAAGCUCGCGUUGAUUACGUCCCUGCCCUUUGUACACACCGCCCGUCGCUACUACCGAUUGAAUGAUUUAGUGAGGUCUUCGGAACGGUACACGGCGUCCUCU